GGAUGCGAUCAUACCAGCACUAAAGCACCGGAUCCCAUCAGAACUCCGAAGUUAAGCGUGCUUGGGCGAGAGUAGUACUAGNN
rnacentral:rRNA from 1 species